rnacentral:snRNA from 1 species
GGAUGUGAAGGCAAUCUAUGACAUCUGUCAUUCCAUUGAUCACCAAGGUGGACCUGGCUGACCUCUAGCGAGGCAGGUGUCUCCUCCCUUUCUCAGUGCUUCAUGUGUGUCCCUCCCUAGGUUGCAUGCUUGGUGGGAUAGGACAGCUUUUCCUGCAUAGAGGAGGACCAUAUAUGCUCUCAAAAAAAAAAAAAAUCUAUUUGUUUCUUAAAAAUAAAUAAAUAAAUAAAGCCGGGUGUGGUGGUGCACUUCUUU